CAGCUUGGAGGACGUCCCUCUUAAUGGAGCAAACGCCAUUUCCGAAACUACGCUAGCCGCCCUCUACGGCUGCUCCCAGCUGAAUACACUGGAGCUUCAAGACACCCGGCCCCUCACGGACAUCCCUGCCCUGACCCAGUCAGAGGUGGCAGCGGUCAGCAGGAUGGCAGUGACCUGCAGGAAACUGAAGACACUGUACAUCAAAUCCUCACUCGAAAACCGCCAGGCCGUCCUGACCGCCCUGCACGAGACAGACCUGGGAUGUGACGGUGGCCAGUCCCGGACCAUCGAUUUCAAUGUCCCCAAGUCUGUAUACGCCAAGCUUACCAAGCCUCCCAACGGCAGCAAAAUCUGUUUGAAGUACUUUGGCUAGACGACUAUCUUCCCGG